rnacentral:rRNA from 1 species
CUAGUUGUACGAGUUGAGACUCGUAGCAGAUAGCUCAGUAACACGUGGCCAAACAACCCUAUGGAUCCAGACAACCUCGGGAAACUGAGGCUAAUCUGGAAUAGGGCUCUCAUCCUGGAGUGGAGAGAGCCUGAAAUGCUCCGGCGCCAUAGGAUGUGGCUGCGGCCGAUUAGGUAGACGGUGGGGUAACGGCCCACCGUGCCAGUAAUCGGUACGGGUUGUGAGAGCAAGAGCCCGGAGACGGUAUCUGAGACAAGAUACCGGGCCCUACGGGGCGCAGCAGGCGCGAAACCUUUACACUGCACGCCAGUGCGAUAAGGGGACUCCAAGUGCGAGGGCAUAUAGUCCUCGCUUUUUGCGACCGUAAGGUGGUCGCGGAAUAAGUGCUGGGCAAGACCGGUGCCAGCCGCCGCGGUAAUACCGGCAGCACGAGUGAUGACCGCUGUUAUUGGGCCUAAAGCGUCCGUAGCUGGCCGCGCAAGUCUAUCGGGAAAUCUCUCCGCUUAACGGAGAGGCGUC